GGCUGUCACGCUCAAACAUCGCGAUACGAGUCUUGCUGGAGUUGAAGUUUUGCGGGUGUUUCGUGUGUGAGAGUGAAGGACUGACAGUGAAGAUGAAGAAGAGGAUGAAGAUGCUGCUGCUGCUCGGGUUUUGUUGCGGACUGGUGUUUGGUGAUCGGAAUCGCUCGGAUCCUCAUGAUCAGAGAGUUUUUCCAGUCCUAUCGAUUAAUUAUGAUUAUGUUCAGAUGCCGUUCGAGGUCUCGCUCUGGAUUCUGCUCGCGUCACUCAUGAAGCUGGGCUUCCACCUGCUCCCGGUUCUGUCGGGUGUGGUUCCGGAGAGCUGUCUGCUGAUCGUGGUGGGGCUGCUGGUGGGGGGUCUGAUCCGUGUGAUGGGGAAGAACCCGCCGGUGCUCGACUCGCAGCUCUUCUUCCUGUGCCUGCUGCCGCCCAUCAUCCUGGACGCAGGCUACUUCCUGCCCAUCCGGCCCUUCACCGAGAACGCCGGCACCAUCCUGACCUUCGCGGUGCUGGGGACGCUGUGGAACGUCUUCUUCAUGGGAGCGGUGCUGUACGGAGCCUGUCGUCUGGAGGCCGGCCGCCUGGCGUCUGUCGACCUGCUGUCCUGCCUGCUGUUCGGCUCCAUCGUGUCCGCCGUGGAUCCGGUGGCUGUUCUCGCCGUCUUCGAGGAGAUCCACAUCAACGAGCUGCUGCACAUCCUGGUGUUCGGAGAGUCUCUGCUGAACGACGCCGUGACCGUGGUCCUGUAUCAUUUGUUUGAGGAGUUUGCGCACGCGGGCGAGGUGACGGUGGGCGACGUGUUUCUGGGCGUGGUGUGUUUUUUCGUGGUGGCGCUGGGUGGAGUGCUGGUGGGAGGCGUGUACGGAGUGCUGGCGGCCUUCACCUCACGCUUCACGUCGCACACGCGUGUGAUCGAGCCCCUGUUCGUCUUCCUCUACAGCUACAUGGCGUACCUGUCGGCCGAGGUCUUCCACCUGUCUGGCAUCAUGGCGCUCAUAGCGUGCGGCGUGGUCAUGCGGCCCUACGUGGAGGCCAACAUCUCCCACAAAUCCUACACCACCAUCAAGUACUUCCUGAAGAUGUGGAGCAGCGUGAGCGAGACCCUGAUCUUCAUCUUCCUGGGCGUGUCGACGGUGGCCGGGCCGCACGCCUGGAACUGGACCUUCGUGAGCAUCACCAUCGUCCUGUGCCUGCUGUCCAGGGUUCUGGGUGUGGUCGGUUUGACGUACAUCAUUAAUAAGUACCGUAUGGUGAAGCUGAGCGGUAAGGAUCAGUUCAUCGUGGCGUACGGCGGACUGAGGGGCGCUAUCGCCUUCUCUUUAGCGUUUCUGCUGUCCAGCGACAACUUUCCCAUGAAGGACAUGUUUCUGACGGCCAUCAUCACCGUCAUCUUCUUCACCGUGUUCGUGCAGGGAAUGACGAUCCGACCCCUCGUUGACCUUCUGGCUGUCAAGAAGAGGAAACAAAGCAAAUGCUCAAUAAACGAGGAGAUUCACACUCAGUUUCUGGAGCAUCUGCUGGCUGGAAUCGAGGGCGUGUGUGGACACUACGGACACCAUCACUGGAGACACAAGCUGAAUCGCUUUAAUAAGCGCUACAUCAAGCGCUGUCUGAUCGGUGGAGAGCGAUCGCAGGAGCCACAGCUCAUCUCCUUCUACAACAAGAUGGAGCUCAAACAGGCCCUGAUGCUGCUGGAGAGCAACAGUUCAGCCAAUCUGAGCGCAGGAGUCACUGCAGCCAUACCACGGCAGCGCAGCCGGAAAACGCUCAACAUCUCUAAAGAACGAGAAGAAGAAAUCAGGAAGAUCCUGCGAGGAAACCUGCAGAAGACCCGACAGAGACUGCGCUCGUACAGCCGGCACACGCUGAAGCCCGACGCGGAGGACGACGACUGGAGCGAGACGCGGCUCAGGAAGCAGCGCGUGGAGAUGGAGAGAAGAAUGAGCCACUUCCUGACGGUUCCUGCGCCUCCAGAGUCUCCUCCAGCGAGAAGAGCGCGCGUCGAGUGCGGUGAGCCUCUCAGAUCUGACCAGGGCUCUUCUCUGACUGCAGUGUUUGAGCUGUGAAUGCUGACGCUCUCCUGCAGACAGACCCCCGAGCUGAGGACACAGACCCAGCUGUAAAGCCCGAGGCACUGAAGAGACUCCUCUGAGGCUGAAGCAUCGCUGUGGAGACUCAUUAACUCCAUCAUCAUCAUCAUCAUCAUCAUCAUCACAGGCACAAACACAGGAGCACAUCUCCUCUUCUGCUCGGCUCGCACCGCUGCUGGAUGAUGGCUGUGGACUUCAGUGGAUGCUGGAAGCUGUAUGAGCAGG